rnacentral:lncRNA from 1 species
AUGUUAAGCCUUCACUGGACUUCAUUGACUCCAAGAGAUGAUGGCAUAUAUAUUUUUUGGUCAUGGCCAAUAAGACCGUUGGAGAAGGAAAUGGCAAACCACUCCAUGAUCUCUACCAAGAAAACCCCAAAUCAGAUGGUGAAGAGUCAGACACCACUGGAUGAUAACAGCUUGAUUCUAAAGCGAGAAAUCUUUCCAGGUUUUGCCUUCUACUGCAAACAUGAUCCUUUGACACUUCAUCCUGUUUGACUCUGGUCCAUUUCUCCUGGUAAGACCUACAAAAGAAAUCCAUUUGUAAAAUCUAAAUUUAUAUCUCUAAUAAUAAAAACAUUAUAUUUUAUGAGGUUUAUCA